rnacentral:rRNA from 1 species
UUAGCUGUAAACGAUGUGAACUUAGUGUCGGUGGGGUUAAAUCCAUCGGUACUGAAGCUAACGCGAUAAGUUCACCGCCUGAGGACUACGGCCGCAAGGUUAAAACUCAAAGGAAUUGACGGGGCCCCGCACAAGCAGCGGAGCGUGUGGUUUAAUUCGAUGUUACACGAAGAACCUUACCAGGGUUUGACAUGCAAGUGGUAGGAAACCGAAAGGUGACCGACCCUUCGGGGAGCUUGCACAGGUGC